AGGAAGGUAGCAUCCGUAAGGGUGUGCGCCGUGUGGUCGCAG
rnacentral:SRP_RNA from 1 species